rnacentral:rRNA from 1 species
AUGAAUAUUUUUGUGCUGGAGCAGGCUGCAAGUUUAAGGUUUGGCUGCAAAUCUGGGAUGCAGGAGGUGAAAAUUCAUUGUCUAAUACGUUUCUCAGUUUUCCUCUUUCAGAAGCGAGAUAUUUUUCAAGAUCUUGCUCCACUGUUGUGGCACUCCUUUGGCACUGUUGCUGCACUGCUCCAGUGUGUUGCUUCACACCCUGAGACCAGGAUCCCGUUCUUGAAUGCUCACAUCCCACUGUACCUGUACCCGUUCCUUAAUACUACCAGCAAGACCAGACCUUUUGAGUACUUGAGGCUUACCAGCUUGGGUGUUAUUGGUGCUCUUGUGAAGGUUGAUUAUUCUGAAGUUAUUGGGAUUUUGCUUCAAACUGAAAUAAUCCUUCUGUGUCUGCGUACUAUGGAGAUGGGCAGUGAACUUUCCAUAACAGUAUGA